UUCUAGCAAAUCUCUUACCCAAU
rnacentral:snRNA from 1 species